rnacentral:lncRNA from 1 species
GGCAACGCUGAUGAAAGGCAAAUUCCUGAGAGAAAAAUCACCCAGAUUUUUCAGUGCCUUCUCUAGCUUUCUAGAAGUUGUUAUGAGUGGACCUGACUACCUAGAGAGAGUAAUACAGAAGCUCCGUGCCGAUCACAGCUACCUCAUUACCAUGUUCCUCCAAGAUGGCCGCCCCUGAGGAGAAUCAUCAACUGGGCUUUACGGAAGAGAGAAAUCCAAACGACCAUCAGCAACAAAUGAAAGACUGAAGUUGAAAGGAAAUCCAUAAUUUUUGAAUGCUGGCCGAGGUCUGUGACCUCUGACUGAAUGGUUUCCAAGCUCCGAAUUCCUAGUUAGCAUUUUGGUGUGGAUACAGAAGACGAGAUUAACACAGAUCAAGUAACAUGGAAAUAAAAAAGGAGACAAUGCUGGAUGAUACAGGGGCAGCCAACAAGAGGAGAAAACCCAAGCAUUGGCAAAUGCCUCAUUAUCCAAAGAACACUGAGGUGUGGAGCAAAACUGUGUUGAAUGAACUGUAGAUGGAAAUUCUCUCCUUCCCACCGAGGAGCCGCUGCAGGUUGCAGACUCCCAGAAUGCCACACUGAGAAGAGGAGGGCUAAAAUUCUAGAGCAGAAUCCCUGGGGCAGCCCCUGCUGAAGAAGGGUGCAUCUGUUGAGAAUCUCAUCACCGCCCCCACCCCGCCCAGCCUUCAAUUUAGAGGAAUUUCUAGUUCACGCAGAAUGAAGACAAGAUCACAUAAGUGAGGACGACGCCCCAUUUACAAGUGUGAUUUGGAAGACUGAAGUGGAAACCUUGGGAAGGGGCCUCAGAGUAUGUCAGCUGGGGUCAGACGGGAACAGGAGUCUGGCUCAACACACAUUUAUUGCACUCCUGUUUCAUGCCAAGAAAUGUACCAAAAUCUGGGACUGUGUAACACAGCAAAGGAAAAGACUCAUCUCCAGGAAGCCCCCUUGUCUAGGAAGAGAAAUUGAAUAUCAGCAUAAGGUGGUGAAAAGCUGUGAAGGAGAUGAGUGCCAGGAGUCCAUGGAGGAAGGAUUCUAGCCUGGACAGGUGAGGAAUGGCUUUCUGGAAGAAGCAGAUGCCCCAGCUGAACUUUAAAAUGCCCAUGUGAAAUGAACUGUCUGUAUCUUCAAUCAGCAAAUGGAGUAGGUGGCCACUGUUUAAUUCUGGAAUGGGGAAGUGUAAAGGUGUGGUGUGUGUGUUUACCCCUACUUAGGGAUUCAAAACAGACAGUAAAGAACAAAAGUCUAGCCCUUUGAGCAUUCUCCAUGGGACAUUUGAGGUCUAGCUGGCCCCAGAGAAAGAGAGACAGAAGCAAGGUCAUAUCCAUUUGAGAAAAUCAAAGUGUCUGCUCCAAUUGAGUCUGGUGUCCUUAUUCCUGGAAUAGCCAUCCCUACUGCUCUGGUGCUGAUUUACCUCCGGCAGUUCAGUGCUUCCUGGAAGGUAGGCUGGGCUUUUUAACAAAGUGACUCCUUACUUGACAUGUUUUACCCAAACACAGAGGCCACUGCACUAUGUGCAAGAAACAACAAAAAAUUAAAUGAGACUCAAUGCCUUCCUUAGGGAUCUAAAACCCCAGUAACACAGAUAAACAGGUAAACAAAUAAUGUGAUGGUGUGAUUCUAUAGCAACAGGAAUAGAGCACUGCAGGGCCACCGAAGGAAAAGGUGAUGACCUGGCUUGGAUUCAGUGAUAAAAAGGGGCUUACCUCCUUUCUCUGUUUCUGCUAAAAGCCAGUGAUUACCCCCUGCUUUUCCCAUGUUGGGCAUAGCUGUAAGUACUUUAGACAUAGCGGCACAUUUAAUCAUCAUGCAACAAUAAGAGGAAGCUGAGGCAGACAGAAGUGCCCAAAGUCACAUACUUGAAGCCAGGACUUGAACCUGGGCUAUCUGGCUCCUGAAUCCAUGGCUUUCACUAAUAAUGACUUACCCUCCAAUGAGGAACAAGCUCCAUUCUGGCCUUUCUUUAGCGAAGGCAACUGCCUGAGCUCAUGGUCUGAUCUGGCUUCUGGGAAAGAGAAAGCAGGGGAAACGUCUAGAGAUGGCAUACUGGGAGAAGAAAUUUCUUGCUGUGGAAUCCUGCCCCCAUCUCCCUCCCCACCAUACACAAUCCCACGUGCAUUUACACCUACACGCCGUGUACACACGAACAUUUUUUCUGCUACUCCCAUGGGCCCCAACUCUGCCUUUUCAUCAAAAUCACCCAGAGUUUUAAAUAAAAUGCAGAUGUUGAGGCUUGUUCCUAAAUUAUAAUCUUGGGCAUCUAAAUUUUUUGAUUAAAAAAAAUUGACAUGCAUGCUUAAAGUAAAAAUUUAGACAAUACAGCAAAGAAUGUGUUUGUACCCCUCCCACCUAGCCCUUAGUUCUUCCGAAAGGCAAAUACUUAACCGUUCCUUGUUAUCCUUCCAGAAAACAAUAUAUGCAUAUAUUCAUCUUUUUUUUCUUCUUCCUCUGUAGGUGAUUGUGGUGAAUAGUCAUGAGAAUCUGGGAACUGGCUCCUGCUCUGUCUAUCUUGGAGAUGCAUCUUUUGUGAGAAGCCAGGGCAAGAAUAGGGAGGCUUAGGCAAUGGGAAGUUUCUGAGUAGAUAAAGCAGAUGGCAGAGCAAAGGGACAGAGCCUGGCGAGAGGCUACUCCCUGUAGCAACCUGCCUAAGAGUGAGAGGAAAGCAAGGCAUGGCUAUGAGCACGUGUAGUCUCAGCUACUUGGGAAGCUGAGGCUGGGGGAUCACUUGAGCCCAGGAGUUCAAGACCAGCCUAGGCAACAUAGUGAGACCAUGUCUCUUUAAAAAAAAAAAAAAAAAGAAAAAGGGAGAGAGAGAAAAAAAGGUGACAAUUCCCCCAACACACAUAAAGUACAUAAGAGUUAACAAGGACACAGUGGCAGAAAAUAGUCAGAACUGAGCAAGCAUCAGUGAGGAAAUGUUUUCCUGAGGAGACUUGAGAAGUCUCAAAAAUGAAAAGAAAGAGUAUUUGGUGUAGAAAGAAUGGCAUGAGAUGUGAAAGCUCAUUCAUCCAUUUAUUCCAGGUAUAUCUUUUUCUUCAGUACUUUGGGAGGCAAUAGGUGUAAUAGCAAGAACAUUCAGGUUAGUGGGUUAGUGUGAGUCUGCCAUAUGUAUGAGGGUUGAAUACACAUUAGGUGUGGUGACUGUCAUAUGGGAGGCACUGCAAGGUGAAGGAGACAUGUCCUCACAUUUGGUCUUUGGGAAGCGAAGCAGGCAGAAACCCAAGUGCAAAGUGGCCAUUUGUUUUCCUAAUGCUAGAUAAGUACCUGAUGUGUUGGAAGGGUGGAGUAGAACUAGAAACUCCUGGAAGUUCUUUUAAGAACGAAUGCAGGACCUCAUCAGCCCGAGUCUUUAAAUAAGUCACACAUUUUUGGUCACCACAUUCUGGAAGGGGGACAAAAAGAUCUGUCACAGACAAAAUUUGGAGAUAUUUAAGGCUUUGUUGACUUUGGCAAAUGCUUGAUUAUAGUUCUGUGGUCUGUUUGUUUUCUAGAGUCUCCAUGAAUUGCAAGGGAAAACAAGUGGUACACUGGUAUUUCUAUUUGAUAACCUGUUCUCUUUGGAAUUCCGGUUAGAAAUCAAAGGCUUACUUGAGUUUUAAUGCUUUCG